AUUAUAAUGAAAUUUUAUAUAUCUAGACCAGUAUUUCCCAAAGUGUGGGUCUCGACCCACUGGUGGGUCGCGGGUAGAUUUUCGGUGGGCCCUGAAACUAUAGGACGAUUGUCGUACUUACGUACGGUACGUUUUUUAUUUGAAAUGGGUGUGGUGAGGAGCUUUAGAAAAGGCCCAAG